UACAUACUCCCUCCGUCCGGAAAUACUUGUCGGAGAAAUGGAUGUACCUAGAUGUAUUUUAGUUCUAGAUACAUUCAUUUUUAUUCAUUUCUGUGACAAGUAAUUUGGGAUGAAGGGAGUACAAG
rnacentral:pre_miRNA from 1 species